AGUGAACGCUGGCGGCGUGCUUAACACAUGCAAGUCGAACGAGAACGGAUUAUAGCUUGCUAUAAUUGUCAGCUAAGUGGCGCACGGGUGAGUAAUGUAUAGGUAAUAUGCCUCUUACUAAGGGAUAACAAAUGGAAACGUUUGCUAAUACCUUAUACUCCUUAUUAACAUAAGUUAAUAAGGGAAAGAUUUAUUGGUAAGAGAUUAGCCUGUAUUGUAUCAGUUAGUUGGUGGGGUAAUGGCUUACCAAGACUAUGACACAUAACUGGUUUGAGAGGAUGAUCAGUCACACUGGAACUGAGACACGGUCCAGACUCCUACGGGAGGCAGCAGUGGGGAAUAUUGCACAAUGGACGAAAGUCUGAUGCAGCAACGCCGCGUGGAGGAUGACACAUUUCGGUGCGUAAACUCCUUUUAUAUGAGAAGAUAAUGACGGUAUUAUAUGAAUAAGCACCGGCUAACUCCGUGCCAG
rnacentral:rRNA from 1 species